UUGUAAUAGUUUAUUUAAAACGUUAGCUUGUGGUGCUUAAAAAGAAUUAUUCUUACUAAA
rnacentral:tRNA from 1 species